CCUCAGGCACAAUCUGACCUAAGGCAGACUGCUCCUCCAGGAGCACCAGUCCUGUCACCCGGGGCAAAAGAUUCCCUAGACCAGGGCAUCUGGAAGUCUCCGUGGUAGUUCUUCCCAUAGUGUGCUGCUCAGUGCCUCUGGGAGUAGGGGAAGAGCGCUUCUUGUUCCUCUCCAUGAGUCACAGGAUCCGUGCUGGCUGAGGCUGAACUUGGAUCAGAGUCACUAUUCCCUCAGUACCUUCCCGGAUGCUCUGCAUAUACUUCAGUGCUCAGUAAAUAUUCAUUGAAUAAAUGCCCAGGAUAAAGGGCUGCCAGAAGGGACAGGCGUGAAGGGAAGGGCCUCCCCAGAAUGCCUGUCCUUGGAAGCCUGCUUAGGAUGCCCUGGGCUCCACCAUGUAGGAGUGAAACUAUGGAGAGCAGCUUCAGGGACAGGCACUGAGCCUUCGCUGGGCAUCAGGACUUUGGGAACAUCCACCCUGGGACACCGGCAGGGCCUGAGCCUCUGCGGCGCACACACGGCUCACGAUCCUGGACCGCGGACGCAACCCCGGGGAAGAGGUGGCCAGGGACCUGAGCUGCUGCUCCUCGGCCAAGGUGAGAGGAAGAGUUUGCAGCGCCACCACCGAGUCCGAGCGACAGGAACAGGGCUUCGUACCGCACACACAAGUUCUCUACAGUGAAUCCAGACCGUGAGGUCCCGACACGCGCAACCCCAUCCCCUGCAGAGAUCCCGUGUUUCCGCAAAAGACCUGCACCGGCAACGAAAGCGCGAACAACCCAUCCGCCCCAGGGGCCGCCGAAAUCUGCCCGUUUACACACACAUGAAAGAAAAGAUCGUCAGGAAGAAUCAGAUAGGAGCAGCCGGGGUGUUGCAAGUCCCGACUACGCAGAGACGCUAAUCACGAAUCAUGCGAGCUCCAAUCAUCAUGUUCCGAGCUGCCCUCCCGAAGGAGGAACAGUCUGCAAGGCUGGAAGAGAGCCUUCCGUUUCUCCAAGUAGUGUGGCUACCCCAGGACUCCCCUAAAAGUUUUGGUCAGAGGGAGAACUGUAGACUGCCUUCCUUGUUCUGGCAAUGCUGAGUGGUCCCCUGCUCCUCCAGCCUUCAUCCCUGUGCUCGCGUCAGGAAGGUAUCAGAAAGGUUUCUUUUUCAGCCCAAAGACACUGACGAAUAAUGCCAUUUCGGUGACAGCUGGGAGGGCACUGCGGACAGAAGGUGAUGGGUUCAAGGCUCCUUCCAAGAAAAUGACCCACAUUCCCAAACUACAGACUCCACCCUCAAAGUGUGGAAGAGGGGGACUUCAAGGGACUACAGGAUGUGGAGUGGGUCUGGUUUCUUCUGCAUGGGCAUGGAGUAAAGGCCUGGGUAGUGGGGGGGGGGCGGGGAGAAGAACCUUCAGAUUGAGUAAACCUUCCUCCCCCAUCCCCAAACAUAGGAUGCUACCGUACCUGCAGAAGACAAAAAUGUACCAGUAAGUGGUGCACUCCCAACGUUCGAAUAUGAAAAAGGAUAGGGCCACCGAGGCACUACAGUGAGCUGCAAUGGCUUGGGAAUGCACCAGAGUCAAGGAAAGCCUUUAGUUCAAUAGGUAGAAUAAGUAGUGAUGAGCCAGGAAAGACCAUUGCUGGGACUGACACCUGCAACUCAGGUUCCCUUCUUGCUCCCUCACCACGCUGCAAAGGCCAGAACCAGCAACCCUGACUUCUAAAUUUAAGGACAGCCAUGUGAGGGGCGCCUGAGUGGCUCAGGCAGUGAAGUGUCUGCCUUCUGCUCAGGUCAUGAUCCCAGAGUCCUGGAAUGGAGUUUGGUGUCUGCUUCUCCCUCUUCCUCUGCCUGCUGCUCCCGCUGCUUGUGCUCUCUCUCCCCCUCUCUGUCUCU